UCACGAUGAGGGGUCUGAUCGCAUUCACCGCUCUGUUUGUUGCUGUUCUUGCCAAGGAGACCUUUGAGGGCUGCAGCUCUCAUGAAACACAAGAUUUAGACUUGAUUCUAGUUUCAAACCACCAGAACUUGACACGUUGAAGGCUUGAAACCUGACCAACACACAGAACAGGAGUACAAGGAGAUCAGAAAAAGCCUUCAAAACCAUCAACCCACUUACUGGGGAACUGGAUUCUGGACUUCCUGACCAACAGACCACAGACUGUCAGGAUCCACAACACCAUCUCCUCCUCCAUCUCAGGGGAUGUACAUCCUCUGAUGUAGUCCACCUCUACAUCCUCCACAUCCUCUGAUGUACAGGGGAUGUACAUCAGCUGUGGAGGUGGUCUCCAGCUACAGUAAUGGAGAGCGUUCUCUGUCUGCAUCACCAUGUGGCCCAGCAGCUGCACUAGUGCUGAAAGGAUGAGUCUGCAGAUGUUGGUGUAGGUGUUCAAGGCUGCACAGAGGACUGUGGGGAGCUGCCUUUCUUCCUCACCUCAGACCUCUACACAGCACGAUGCAGGAGGAGGACGCUCUUCAUCAAAAAGGACUCCUAUAGGGGAAUUUUUUUGCUAUAAUCCAAGUUCACACAUGUUCAGUCUAAAAGCAGGAUUUCAUGUCAUUUGUUCUCAAAACUUUAAUACUUUUAUUUACAUGUUCAUUUUAAAAGCAGAAGUUCAUGUCUCAAAACUUGUAACACUUGUAUUCAAAGCUUCUUCUCGUAAUCAGAUUUAGACUCUGCUCGGACUCUCUGCUCGCUUACCAAACAUGGCACAGUCGUGGCACAGUCACCUAGCAACCUCUCAGCCAAUAGAAUGAGAGUGUUGUGCUGGGUGUGCUUGGUUCCUUCUAGUGGGUGUGUCUGUGUGGCUGCUAUUGAUUGUAGCAGAAGCCUCAGCACUGCCACUGCCAGAUAUUUUUGUUCAUUUCAACAGACUAUUAUGUGAGAUCUCGGGAGACAACGUUUUAUAAAUUCAGCACUGUACUGUAUUUAUGUCCACCGUCAAAAAAACAGCUAAUAUUAUCUAUAGUGCUUGGUGUGAUACCGGGGUUCAGCCCUAUGAAUGCUAACCAAGAUUUUGUAAAUCUUAAAAAGUUUUAAUUAUUCCCUAACAUUGAUUUAGACUAUGUGACACAAAGUGGCAAAGACUGUUAUUUAUAGGUAAUUGUUUCACUGUCUAAAGUAAGAUAGAUUCUGAUUUUAUUUUGAAGGUUUUAUAAAGACAUGAUGUGAGGAAGAAGAGGGAAACGUGUUUAAAGAGAGACGGAUUCACUGCUGAUGAAUCUCAGCUGCUGAAUCUCUUAAGCUACAACUCCUCGGCUGGAAAACAUGAAUAAAACUUAUAUAGAUAUUAUGUAUAUACGCAUGUGUAUAUAAAUAUGUGUAGUUUAAAACAUGUUAUUCAGUAUUAAUCAUUAUUUAAAGCUCUUUCUUUCUCUAUGAUUGUAUUAUUUUGUGUUUGUAUAAAUAUGUAUUGAUAUUACUAAAUAAUAUAUUCCUUCACCCAACCAAAGACAACAAAGUCACAACAUAUCUAGCUCUUGGAUUAUGGCAGGAAAUUCCACCAAGCGAUCAGAGUAUUUUGAUCAAAGAUUUGCUCUGAGCAGAGACUCAGUGUGAUUGUGAGAGGUUUUUAGUGCAAUCAUUACAAGUUUUGAGAAUAAAGACAUGAAGUUCUGCUCUCAAAAUAUACAUGUAAGCAAAAGUAUUAAAAGUUUUGAGAACAAAACACAUGAAAUCCUGCUUCAGAUAGAACAUGUGUGCUUUUGGAUUAUGGCAGAUAAAAUCCCCCAUAGAGUUUUGGGCCUUUGUGGGAGUUGUUGGAUAUGGUGAAAUAAUGAUUCCAAUCAAUAAAGUUUACCUGUAUAACACA